AAUGCUGGGCUUCGCGCGCUUCUUGGCCUGGAUGAGAAGGUUCUUGAGCGCGGCGAACGCCUCCUCGAGGAUCUUCGUGGCCUCGAGGACCUUGCCCCCGAUCUUCUCCGCUGCGGCGGAGACCCGACCGAGGGAUCGCUCCUCCAGCUCACUGAACGCCGAGAUCGCCGGAUCUGCGGCGGAGGGGGAGGAAGGAUCGCCGGACGGAGAGACGGCGAGCGCCUCGAGCCGCGCGACCGCCGAUUCGAGGCGGGUGAUGAGUUGUUG
rnacentral:misc_RNA from 1 species